rnacentral:lncRNA from 1 species
UGCCCAUCGUUUCGGCGUCGCUCAGCAGCCCUGAAGGCUUAAGGCACGGACGGAUAGGAAAGCGGGAAGUCCUCUGGUGAUUAAAAAAAAAAAAGGUGGGGAGGGGAAAAAAAUCUAAGGCGGGGGGAGAAGAGAGCCAGCCGAGGAGCCGCUGAGCGCCUCCUCAGCAAGCUUCAUCAGCAGCACUACUAAGGCGGCGAGGCUGCCUGCCUGCCUGCCCGCCCGUGCCCUGGAAAUCUGCCUGCUUCGGCUCGAAGGCAUCGCUUUGCACUUUCCCCUAUCAGCCUCUGAAGAACUAUAUUUCUACAUUCAUAUCAAACCAUACCAUCUGAGCUGAGAGAAAGCUCUUCCCUCAAGCUAAUCUCAGCAAGAACUAAAGAUAU